GAAUAUUGCGCAAUGGGCGAAAGCCUGACCCAGCCACGCCGCGUGGGUGAUGAAGGCCUUCGGGUUGUAAAGCUCUGUGGGGGGGGACGAACAAGCCUGGGGCUAAUCACCCGGGCCCUGACGGUACCUCCUUAGCAAGCACCGGCUAACC
rnacentral:rRNA from 1 species